UACAGAGGGUGCAAGCGUUAAUCGGAAUUACUGGGCGUAAAGCGCACGCAGGCGGUUUGUUAAGUCAGAUGUGAAAGCCCCGGGCUCAACCUGGGAAUUGCAUUUGAAACUGGCCAACUAGAGUACGUGAGAGGGGGGUAGAAUUCCAAGUGUAGCGGUGAAAUGCGUAGAGAUUUGGAGGAAUACCAGUGGCGAAGGCGGCCCCCUGGCACAACACUGACGCUCAGGUUCGAAAGCGUGGGGAGCAAACAGG
rnacentral:rRNA from 1 species